AACUCUCGAUUUUUUCGGGCGAACGGUUUGUAGAAUGUGAACGACCCACGGUACCCACGCUCAUUUGACGUUUUCCACAGUUCCAUAAUUUUUGUUUGUCCCUUUUUAUUCGAUCGGUUUUGUUUUUAUUGUUUGCAUCAACAGUUUGUUGUUGUUGCAAAUUUUGCAUCCAAUUCGCAACGAUCCGAAAGUGAUUUUAUUACAAACUCGGUCACCGAAGUUCCCCAGUAACCUACCACACAACGAUAGCACAAAUAUCUUCAACAAAUUCAUCCGGCCUUCCGGGACAUCAAGGUGCUAACGUCUUCCGAGCGCAAGACGCUCUUCGCCAACAUUGUCCCCGUGCACGAGUGCUCCGAUUUAGAAAACUGUUAGCAGGACAACAUCAUGCUCCUGGGCCUCAGUCGCAGUAUGUACAAGCACGCCGAGAAACACUUCCACGUGUACGUUAACUACUGCGAGCACCAAGCGAAGAUCGAUCGCACCCUAAAGAAC